rnacentral:ncRNA from 1 species
GAAAAGGCUAAGAACGGAAAGAGUAUCAGGGUUUUUCUUUUCCAGAGAGGGACAGUCACCGGCUGAAAGCUGUCUUAAAAGAAAUCUGAGAAGGUGCAUCCGGGAGCUGAUUCGGUGACUAUCUGAUUUUUAUGCAGAUAUCAGAUACAGCCGGAAUCCGCCAGUCAGCGUUACAGACAAAAGAGUGGCAGACAGAAGUUGUGUCUUCAAAUAGAGUGGAACCGCGGAGUAAUUCGCCUCUAUA